rnacentral:lncRNA from 1 species
CAUUUGAUCCUGUUGAGUACAAGGACAAAGUUUUUGUUCCUGGCCAGUCCAACAAUGCAUACAUUUUUCCUGGAUUUGGUCUGGGUUUGGUUAUCUCUGGAGCAAUCCGUGUUCACGAUGACAUGCUUCUGGCAGCCUCGGAAGCCUUGGCGGGGCAAGUUUUCGAGGAGAAUUUUGCACAGGGGCUGAUCUAUCCACCAUUGUCGAACAUCAGAAAGAUUUCUGCCCAAGUAGCUGCUAAUGUAGCUGCCAAGGCAUAUGACCUUGGCGUGGCUACGCGUCUCCCUCGUCCUGAGAAUCUUGUGAAGCAUGCCGAGAGUUGCAUGUACAGUCCCG